ACCACUUGGGGUUUGGUCGCUUUCCCACUUAACCACCUGUAGUCAGUAAAGUUAUAUUUAAACUCUUGACUUUUUGAGUUGAAGUAAAAACGUCACUUUUUCCAUCCAACUUAACCGUGCGUGUAUGUCAGACGCCAAAAGCGCAUGAGAACAGGCUGUAACGGUCAAAAAUAACUGGUAAAUGUCUGAAAUACCCCUUUCUUCCUCUUGGCUUUUAAAAGACAAUCUGAAUCAUUUUGUUCUACCCCAUUUCAGCUCCAUCGCAGACGUGAUGUAGCAGACGAAAUUGAAAGCUACUAGCAGACCAAAUUCAGUUAGUAUACUUCUUAACUAAAGCUCCAAAAACCGUAGCACACAGUGAGAGAAGGAAAAGGAAUCCGGCUGGUAAAGGAGAAAGAUUUGAGCAACAACCAUUUGCAAUUUCUUAAGGUAAGUUUUCCAAUCCCCUUCCAUUCCUUUUUCAUUUCAUCCUUGUUAAGAAAAUGACUUUCAUGGCCUAAUGGUUGGGCAUGAACUUGAAGGACUGUUUGUCCUUUUAGUUGCUAUGUUGCUGCUGUAAGAUUUAGUUCACUGGUAUGCUACUGUUAUUUAUGGAAAUUAGACACAAGGAGAUAGGUUGGGCUCUGGAGUAAUAAGGAUGUUGUUAUGGGUUGUUAUUGUAAACAAUGGCUAUGAAAUUAGUAACCUAAAACUAUGCCUAUCAGUUGUUUGAUAAAAGUUCUAAAAGAACUAUUUUGACUAAAAAAUAUAUAUUAGACCAAAGUAAAGCUUGGGCUUGACUUUUUUAUCAUAUGUGGUGUUAAUUAGAAAAUUUGAAGGUAUUAGAUUAGAGCGAAAAGCAAAUUCAAGCUAAAACUAAUAUAUAUACAUUUAUGGUCUACUCUUUGAUAUUAUUUUUCGUGUUGUUUAUGUGAAUCAGGAGUCAUGUCUUCGUCAAACAAUGAUGUAGGAAGGAUGAAUGGUGACUUCCGCUACAUACCUAGGCGAUGUAAAUGUAGAAAAAAGUAAGUGUAAGAAUUUUUGACUCGAACAAACCAUCGAAUGGGAGGUUAUAUUUUGUAUGCGAUGAGUGUGAGUUUUGGGCAUGGUGCUUGCCUUCUACAACAAACUCAAGUGGAAUAGUCAAUGGCCCCAAUGAAGACAAUGACAUAAUGGGGACAAAAUGCAAGUGUUCAUGUGAGCUGAAUAACAUACCAAGUAGGAUGAUAGUUGUUGAAAAUAAUGUUAAGAUGAUAAUUGUUGUUGGACUUGUGUUGUAUUUUAUGUCAGUCAUGAUGUAUUUUAUUAGUAACAAAUGAAUGUAUAAACUAAAUGAAUGUAGUUUAGGAGACCAAUGGUAGCAGGCUUUUUUCUUCGUUAGACUUUAUGUUAUGGAUCCCUGGAAUUAGUUUUUCAUCUUUAAAUUAUUGGAUUGC
rnacentral:lncRNA from 1 species